AGACCCGAAACCCGGUGAUCUAGCCAUGGGCAGGUUGAAGGUUGGGUAACACUAACUGGAGGACCGAACCGACUAAUGUUGAAAAAUUAGCGGAUGACCUGUGGCUGGGGGUGAAAGGCCAAUCAAACCGGGAGAUAGCUGGUUCUCCCCGAAAGCUAUUUAGGUAGCGCCUCGUGAAUUCAUCUCCGGGGGUAGAGCACUGUUUCGGCUAGGGGGCCAUCCCGGCUUACCAACCCGAUGCAAACUGCGAAUACCGGAGAAUGUUAUCACGGGAGACACACGGCGGGUGCUAACGUCCGUCGUGAAGAGGGAAACAACCCAGACCGCCAGCUAAGGUCCCAAAGUCAUGGUUAAGUGGGAAACGAUGUGGGAAGGCCCAGACAGCCAGGAUGUUGGCUUAGAAGCAGCCAUCAUUUAAAGAAAGCGUAAUAGCUCACUGGUCGAGUCGGCCUGCGCGGAAGAUGUAACGGGGCUAAACCAUGCACCGAAGCUGCGGCAGCGAACGUAUCACCCAAGACAACUUUACGGAGUUGACGAUUGACGGAGCGAAGCGACGUCAAAGCGUUCAUUAAAGUCGAGUUGGCUUAGGGAUACGUUCGUUGGGUAGGGGAGCGUUCUGUAAGCCUGUGAAGGUGUGUCGUGAGGCAUGCUGGAGGUAUCAGAAGUGCGAAUGCUGACAUAAGUAACGAUAAAGCGGGUGAAAAGCCCGCUCGCCGGAAGACCAAGGGUUCCUGUCCAACGUUAAUCGGGGCAGGGUGAGUCGACCCCUAAGGCGAGGCCGAAAGGCGUAGUCGAUGGGAAACGGGUUAAUAUUCCCGUACUUGGUGUUACUGCGAAGGGGGGACGGAGAAGGCUAUGUUGGCCGGGCGACGGUUGUCCCGGUUUAAGGGUGUAGGUGUGUGUUCCAGGUAAAUCCGGUUCACUUUAACACUGAGGCGUGACGACGAGGCACUACGGUGCUGAAGCAACAAAUGCCCUGCUUCCAGGAAAAGCCUCUAAGCAUCAGGUAACA
rnacentral:rRNA from 1 species